GGCAGCAGGCGCGCAAAUUACCCAAAUCCCAACUCGGGGAGGUAGUGACAAGAAAUAACGAUGCUCCGGCCUCACGGUCGGGUAAUCGGAAUGAGAACAAUUUAAAUCCCUUAUCGAGGAUCAAUUGGAGGGCAAGUCUGGUGCCAGCAGCCGCGGUAAUUCCAGCUCCAAUAGCGUAUAUUUAAGUUGCUGCGGUUAAAAAGCUCGUAGUCGGAUUUCGGGUGGCGCCUACCGGUCCGCCAUUGGUGAGUACUGGUAGGUACCACCUUUCUGCCGAGGACGGGGUACUGGGCUUAGUUGUCUGGGCCUCGGAUUCGGCGAUGUCACUUUGAGUAAAUUAGGGUGUUCAAAGCAGGCUUAUGCUCUGUAUACACUAGCAUGGGAUGACACGAUAGGACUUCGGUUUAUCUUGUCGGUCUGUAGAUCGGAGUAAUGAUUAAGAGGGACAGUCGGGGGCAUUCGUAUUUCGUAGUCAGAGGUGAAAUUCUUGGAUUUACGGAAGACGAACUUCUGCGAAAGCAUUUGCCAAGGAUGUUUUCAUUGAUCAAGAACGAAAGUC
rnacentral:rRNA from 1 species